AGAGUUUGAUCCUGGCUCAGAACGAACGCUGGCGGCAUGCCUAACACAUGCAAGUCGAACGGGCAGGGGCAACCCUGUCAGUGGCGGACGGGUGAGUAACGCGUGGGGACCUGCCUCGAAGUUCGGAAUAACCGCGGGAAACUGCGGCUAAUACCGGAUGUGGCCUGAGGGCCAAAGGGGAAACUCGCUUCGAGAGGGGCCCGCGUCCGAUUAGCUAGUUGGCGGGGUAACGGCCCACCAAGGCGACGAUCCAUAGCUGGUCUGAGAGGAUGAUCAGCCACACUGGGACUGAGACACGGCCCAGACUCCUACGGGAGGCAGCAGUGGGGAAUAUUGCGCAGUGGGCGAAAGCCUGACGCAGCAACGCCGCGUGGGGGAUGAAGGCUCUCGGGUUGUAAACCCCUUUCAGCAGGGACGAUCGUGACGGUACCUGCAGAAGAAGGCCCGGCCAACUACGUGCCAGCCGCCGCGGUAAUAC
rnacentral:rRNA from 1 species